AAACUCAAAUGAAUUGACGGGGCCCGCACAAGCGGUGAGCAUGUGGUUCAAUUCGACGCAACGCGAAGAACCUUACCUGGGCUUGACAUCCGCUGACCGUCCUGGAAACAGGAUCUUCCCGCAAGGGGACGGCGAGACAGGUGCUGCAUGGCUGUCGUCAGCUCGUGUCGUGAGAUGUUGGGUUAAGUCCCGCAACGAGCGCAACCCUCAUCCUUAGUUGCCAUCAUUGAGUUGGGCACUCUAAGGAAACUGCCCCGGUUAACGGGGAGGAAGGUGGGGAUGACGUCAAGUCCUCAUGGCCUUUAUGUCCAGGGCUACACACGUGCUACAAUGGGCGGUACAAAGGGUUGCAAUACCGUAAGGUGGAGCUAAUCCCAAAAAGCCGCUCUCAGUUCAGAUUAGAGUCUGCAACUCGACUUUAUGAAGGCGGAAUCGCUAGUAAUCGCGGAUCAGCAUGCCGCGGUCGAAUACGUUCCGGGCCUU
rnacentral:rRNA from 1 species